rfam:Caenorhabditis brenneri strain PB2801 C_brenneri-6.0.1_Cont128.8, whole genome shotgun sequence.
CCAACGGCCCUCUUUAGGGCCACAAAUACUUCAAUAAUCCAAAUAU